AUGGGGAUGGGGACGGGCUUGCGGUUUUCUCACGGGGAUGGGUUUGGUCAAGCAAAACCCGGUGGCUUUCAUCCCCGUUGCCAUCUUGGUAUAAAGGGGACGGUCCAAGAGAACAACCAAUCGCAGGAGCCGUCGUCGGUGGAGGGGAGCUUGGCUUGCAUCAUGCCUCGUGACCAAGUUGACUUAAGUCCAGGGCAGCUGCAUAAGCUAGCCGAUUUGAUCCAUCGACAAGAAGUCCAGAAGCUUCAAGAGCUCGAGUUCGAGUCUUAUGCAGAGCAAGAAAACGCAGGCCGAGGCGCCGAUGACGACGCAACCAAGCAAGAUAUUGCCAAGGAUGUGUAUGGGUAUUGCACCAUGGCCAUCGGAACAUCCCUCAAAUUCGUCCGUAGUUACAACACCCGGAUCACCUACCUUGACAAGCUCAAGACCCACAGUGACGAUCUCAUCAAGCAGCUAAAGUGGCUUGAUGCAGCCACCCAGCUGGAUGAAGCUGAGCGCCUUGCUAUUGAGGCCAGCACGUAUAGGAAAGCUGCGCUUGACACUGCCAAAAAGUUUCAGGAUUUUAUACCAACUCAAUUCUCAAGAUUGCUCAAGGAAAACAACAUCUUGUUUGAUGAUCUUGUCAUAUAUAUAAAGUGUGUGGUACAGCAGUGCGAACAAAAGGUAUAUGAGAACAUUAUUGCGGAUGCGGGACAUGGAAAACCUGUGGUGACUUACACAUUUGAAGCUCUGGGAAAAGUGGGGGUGGCAGUUUUGGUUUUUACAGCAGCUGCAAUGGUGUGGGACAUAUACACAGGAGAGGACAUGCUGGAGGAAGAAGCUGGAUUCGCAACGCUUGACAUCGAGAUCGCUUCUGUAGCCGUGACGGUGAUCGGAGCAGUCGCCGGGAUCGGAGUUGGUGUGGUCAUUGGGAUGGCUGCAGGUGCGCUGCUUGACUUGGUUUUCAGCAGUGGAACCACCAGCAUGGUGGACAUCACAGACGGCCUUACUGUUUGCCGUGUGGCUCCUAUGCCCGAUGGUCUCAAGCUCGCUCGUCUAGUUAAGCACAAUUACCCUGACCUGUAG
rnacentral:rRNA from 1 species